GACGAAGGGGGCGAGCGUUGUUCGGAAUCACUGGGCGUAAAGGGUGCGUAGGCGGUUGGAUAAGUCUGAUGUGAAAUCUUCGAGCUCAACUCGGAAACUGCAUCGGAAACUAUCCAGCUUGAGGAUUGGAGGGGAGACUGGAAUUCUCGGUGUAGCAGUGAAAUGCGUAGAUAUCGAGAGGAACACCAGUGGCGAAGGCGAGUCUCUGGACAAUUCCUGACGCUGAGGCACGAAAGCUAGGGGAGCAAACAGG
rnacentral:rRNA from 1 species